UAUGUGAUCGUCUCUCGCAUAUCAAUAAGCGGAGGAAAAGAAACUAACAAGGAUUCCCCUAGUAACGGCGAGUGAAGCGGGAAGAGCUCAAAUUUGAAAUCUUAAAGGGUUUCCCUUUACGAAUUGUAGUUUAAAGAAGUGUUUUCUGUUGAGGUUUUGGUAAAAGUUCUUUGGAAUAGGACAUCAUAGAGGGUGAGAAUCCCGUAUUCGACCUUUACUUUCAACUUUGUGAUACACUUUCAAAGAGUCGGAUUGUUUGGGAAUGCAGUCCAAAAUGGGUGGUAAAUUUCAUCUAAAGCUAAAUAUUGGCGAGAGACCGAUAGCGAACAAGUACCGUGAGGGAAAGAUGAAAAGAACUUUGAAAAGAGAGUUAAACAGUACGUGAAAUUGUCAAAAGGGAAGCGUUUGACACCAGUGUUGUUUUUCUGAAAAUCAAUUAAAGAACUGUUUAUGCUAAGCUGUUUAGACUUUAUCAGCUAUCUGUUUAGUUUUGAGCUUUUCUUUAAUGCACUUUUCAGUUAACAAGUCAACAUCAACUUUCUUUUGCUGUAAAAAAGCUUGAGGAAGGUGGCUUGAGAUUCGUCUUAAGUGUUUAUAGCCUCUUGCCUAUGCAGUCGGAGAGAUUGAGGUCUGCAGCGUAGAUCCUUCGGGGCUAAAUGCAUUUGUGCUAAGUUAUAGCAUUUUAUAGACAACUUGUUGACUAUGGUUUGUCUUGUAGCUUACUCGCUUAUGUUAUUUUACCUACGCUUAGGAUGUUGAUCUCUCACAGUCGAGC
rnacentral:rRNA from 1 species